UACGGAGGGUGCAAGCGUUAAUCGGAAUUACUGGGCGUAAAGCGUGCGCAGGCGGUUUGUUAAGUCCGUUGUGAAAGCCCCGAGCUCAACUUGGGAAUUGCAGUGGAUACUGGCAGGCUGGAGUACGGUAGAGGAAGGUGGAAUUCCCGGUGUAGCAGUGAAAUGCGUAGAUAUCGGGAGGAACACCAGUGGCGAAGGCGGCCUUCUGGACCAGUACUGACGCUGAGGCGCGAGAGCGUGGGGAGCGAACCGG
rnacentral:rRNA from 1 species